rnacentral:rRNA from 1 species
GACGAACGCUGGCGGCGUGCUUAACACAUGCAAGUCGAACGGAAAGACCCUGCUUUUGUGGGGUGCUCGAGUGGCGAACGGGUGAGUAACACGUGAGUAACCUGCCCUUGACUUUGGGAUAACUUCAGGAAACUGGGGCUAAUACCGGAUAGGAGCUCCUGCUGCAUGGUGGGGGUUGGAAAGUUUCGGCGGGUGGGGAUGGACUCGCGGCUUAUCAGCUUGUUGGUGGGGUAGUGGCUUACCAAGGCUUUGACGGGUAGCCGGCCUGAGAGGGUGACCGGCCACAUUGGGACUGAGAUACGGCCCAGACUCCUACGGGAGGCAGCAGUGGGGAAUAUUGCACAAUGGGCGGAAGCCUGAUGCAGCAACGCCGCGUGCGGGAUGACGGCCUUCGGGUUGUAAACCGCUUUCGCCUGUGACGAAGCGUGAGUGACGGUAAUGGGUAAAGAAGCACCGGCUAACUACGUG